rnacentral:rRNA from 1 species
UGACCUCUGACCUCAAAUCAGGUAGGACUACCC